GGGGGGAGAGUAACGUCGGGCCGGGUCAGCGGGCGCUGCAGUAGUCGCCGCAGCGGCUAUGGGAGCGGUGGGGACGAGGCGGCGGCGGCGGCGGCAGGAGGAGGUGCAGGGGCUGGCACGAGAGCAGCGGCCCGGGGAGGCCCGCAGCAACACCCGCAGCCGCCGCCGCCGCCUUUAGACGCGGACGGCACCCGAGGGGACCGCCGGCCGUCUGAGCCGCGCUCGGGUCCCGCCGCAGUGGGCGGCGGGGGAUGGGCAGGCGGCGGCGGGCCAGCCUGCUGAGCAGUGACUCCCGCCGGUGCGGACCCUGAGCUGAACCCCAGUCCUCCGCCGGAGAUCCUGCGUCCGCCGCGGCCCAGAUUAAAUGGAAACCACCCUUGGGAGCUAGAUGCCUGUGUAGCUGUUUUACCACGUCAGUGUUUUGCAAUGAGUGGGGGAGGAGAGCAGCCAGACAUCCUCAGUGUUGGAAUCUUGGUCAAAGAAAGAUGGAAAGUGUUAAGAAAGAUUGGGGGUGGGGGCUUUGGAGAGAUUUACGAUGCCUUGGACAUGCUCACCAGGGAAAAUGUGGCGCUGAAGGUGGAGUCAGCUCAGCAGCCAAAGCAAGUUCUGAAGAUGGAGGUCGCUGUGUUGAAGAAACUGCAAGGGAAAGACCAUGUUUGUAGAUUUAUUGGCUGUGGGAGAAAUGAUCGUUUCAACUAUGUGGUCAUGCAAUUGCAGGGUCGGAAUCUGGCAGAUCUUCGACGUAGCCAGUCCCGGGGCACAUUCACCAUUAGCACUACUCUUCGGCUCGGGAGACAGAUUCUGGAGUCUAUUGAAAGCAUCCAUUCUGUGGGAUUCCUUCACAGAGACAUCAAACCGUCAAACUUCGCAAUGGGACGCUUUCCCAGUACAUGCAGGAAAUGUUUCAUGCUUGAUUUUGGCUUGGCCCGACAAUUUACGAAUUCCUGUGGUGACGUCAGACCUCCUCGUGCUGUGGCAGGCUUUCGAGGGACAGUUCGUUAUGCAUCAAUCAAUGCUCAUCGGAACAGAGAAAUGGGAAGACACGAUGACCUUUGGUCGUUAUUCUACAUGUUGGUAGAGUUUGUGGUUGGUCAGCUGCCUUGGAGAAAAAUAAAGGACAAGGAGCAAGUGGGUUCCAUUAAGGAGAGGUAUGACCAUAGGCUCAUGUUGAAACACCUCCCUCCUGAAUUCAGCACCUUUCUUGACCAUAUUUCCUCUUUGGAUUAUUUUACAAAGCCAGACUACCAGCUUCUUACAUCCCUGUUUGACAGUAGCAUCAAGGCCUUUGGAGUGACUGAGAGCGACCCUUUUGACUGGGAGAAGAGCGGAACUGACGGCUCCCUGGCCACCACCACCACCUCUGCCACCCCUCAGCUGCACACCCGCUUGACCCCUGCUGCAAUUGGAAUUGCAAAUGCCACUCCUAUCCCAGGAGACUUGCUCCGAGAAAAUACAGAUGAAGUGUUUCCAGAUGAACAGCUUAGUGAUGGGGAGAAUGGUAUCCCUGUUGGUGUAUCACCAGAUAAAUUACCUGGAUCUCUGGGGCACACUCGCCCUCAGGAAAAGGAUGUCUGGGAAGAGAUGGAUAUCAACAAGAACAAGAUAAAGCUUGGAAUUUGUAAGGCUGCUACUGAAGAAGAAAAUAGCCAUGGUCAAGUAAAUGGUGUUCUCAAUGCUCCCAGUCUGGGCUCACCAAUUCGUGUCCGAUCAGAGAUUACUCAGCCAGACAGGGAUGUUCCCUUAGUAAGGAAGUUACGUUCUAUUCACAGCUUUGAGCUAGAAAAACGUCUGACACUAGAGCCCAAACCAGAUACUGACAAGUUUCUUGAGACUUGCAUGGAGAAAAUGCAGAAAGAUUCCAGUGCAGGAAAGGAAUCAGUUCUCCCUGCUCUGCCUCAUAAGCCUUGUGUUCCUGUUGUGUCCCGCACUGAGCACAUCUGGCACUAUGAUGAAGAAUACCUUCCUGAUGCCUCCAAACCUGCCUCUGCCAACACUCCAGAGCAGGCAGAUGGUGGUGGCAGCAAUGGAUUUGUAGCUGUUAACUUCAGCUCUUGCAAGCAGGAGGUUGAUUCCAAAGAAUGGGUGAUUGUGGACAAAGAGCAAGACCUUCAGGAUUUUAGGACAAAUGAGGUGUUAGGCCAUAAAACAACUGGAAGCCCUUCAGAUGAGGAGCCUGAAGUGCUUCAGGUCCUUGAAGGGUCAGCUCAAGAUGAAAAGAUCCAAGGAGGUCCUUGGAGCAACAACCAUCACUUAAAGGAAACCUCAGGUGCGGUCUUAGCACUUUCUGUGGAAGGUCCUGCCCCUGGUGCUUCAGAACAGUACACAGAUAGGCUAGACCUCCAGGCUGCAGCUGCCAGUCAGUUCAUCACCGUGACUCCUACAAGUCCAAUGGAGGCGCAAGCAGAAGGCCCCCUGACUGCGAUUACAAUUCCUAGACCUUCUGCGGCAUCAACACAGUCAACUUCAGGAAGCUUUCACUAUGGUCCACAACCAGAGAAGAAAGAUCUUCAGCCCUUGGAACCCACUGGGGAACUUUAUUCUCCCAGAGAAAACUUCUCCUGCUUGGUUGCAACAGAGGGCGAACUUCCUAGUGGAGAAAGCAGAACGGAUUUGGGACUUCAGAUAGAUCACACUGGUCAUGACGUGUUACCCAAUAUGAGAGACGGGGAUACAUCUCAAGACUUGGGACCAAAAGACUUUCCUGACCAUACUAGAUUGGUUAUGAAAGAAUUUGAAAAUCUUCCUGGAGAAACAGAGGAAAAAGGCAUUCUUCUGGGCUCAGAUAAUGAAGAUGAGAAGUUAAGUAAAGGGCAGCAUUGUGUUGAAAUCGCUUUCCCAGGAGAUUUAGUAACUGUAGAAAGGGAACAGUCAGCUACCACAGAACCUCUCGAUAUUUCAAAGACACAGAAUUUUAGUGUGGUGCCAAAUCAGGACAAAAACCAUGAGAUUAUGAAGCUUUUGACAAUUGGAACUUCAGACAUUUCUCAACAAGUCAUUGACCCGCAUGCUGAAGGGCAGACAGGCCAGGUGGUGGAGAUGCAGACAAAGCAGCUCCUCAAGGGUGCCGACAGGAAGAGUGAGGACUUGCCAGGACAGCAGGGAGACCUCUCUACUUUUCUGCACCAAGAGGGAAAGAGAGAGAAAGUUGUCCCUAGAAAUGGAGAGCUCUAUCAUUGUGUCUCAGAGAAUGAGCAUGGUCUUCCCACCCGGAAGGACAUGCUUCGGUCAUCCUUUGUAACCAGGCACAGCCGGAUCCCUGUUUUAGCACAAGAAAUAGAUUCAACUUUUGAAUCAUCUUCUGCGGUCUCUGCAAAAGAAAAGCUUCUACAGAAGAAAGCCUAUCAGCCAGAACUAGUCAGACUUCUGGUAGAAAAAAGGCAGUUCAAGUCUUUCCUGGGGGACCUCUCAAGUGCCUCUGAUAAGCUGAUAGAGGAGAAAUUAGCUGCUGCUCCUGUUCCCUUUUCUGAGGAAGAAGUCUUCACUCCCUUUUCCAGACUGGCAGUAGACACCCACCUGAGUAGAUCGGCUGAGGAUGGCUUUCUGACACCCAUCAUCUCCCAGUCUCGAAAGAGCAAGAUUCCAAGGCCGGUUUCCUGGGUCAGCACGGAUCAAGUUAAUAGCUCAGCUUCACCUCAGUUCUUGCCUCGGCCACCACCAGGAAAGCCACCAAUCAGGCCUGGAGUAGAAGCCAGGCUACGCAGAUAUAAAGUUCUAGGGAGUAGUAACUCUGACUCAGACCUUUUCUCUCGCCUGGCCCAAAUUCUUCAAAAUGGAUCUCAGAAACCCCGGAAUACUCCUCAAUCCAAGAGCCCAGGAUCGCCUCACAAUCCAAAAACACCACCCAAGAGUCCAGUUGUACCUCGCAGGAGUCCCAGUGCCUCUCCUCGAAGCUCAUCCUUGCCCCGAACAUCUAGCUCCUCACCAUCUAGGGCUGGACGGCCCCACCAUGAGCAGAGGAGUUCGUCCCCACAUCUGGGGAGAAGCAAGUCACCCCCCAGCCACUCAGGAUCAUCGUCGUCCAGGAGGUCCUGCCAACAGGAGCAUUGUAAACCCAGCAAGAAUGGCCCCAAAGGAUCUGGCAGUCUCCACCACCACUCAGCCAGCUCCAAAACUCCCCCAGGGAAGAGUAAGCCAGCCAGUAAACUCAGCAGAUAGGAAGCAAGUGGGCUGCAUCUCUGGGAAAGGUGCAUAGUGCAACAGUUGGCAGUCUUUCGCAAGCCAAGGUGUGGUGGCUCAUGUUUCUAACCCAGUACUUGAGGGAAUAAGAUACGAAGAUGGAAGAGAAUCUGAAGCCAACCUCAGCUUCAUAGGAACUUCAAGUCCACCUGGGCUAUAGUGUGAGAACCUCUCAAAAAACAAAACAGAAACUGUUGUUUUAUAUGAUUUUUUUAAGUUUUCAUACAUACAUGUAUAUAUUGUAUGUUGAGUAUACUUCCCUCUCAUUCUUUCGUAUCUGUCAAUAUGGCACAUCUUAAAAUUAUUUCUUCUUUCAUGUUCAUGCAAGGACUAAGUUGUUUACAUUCGCUUUUUAAAAAAACGUGCCUAUUUCGGGUUUGUGUUAGGAUACUGUUUCUGGGGAGAGGUCAUUUAGCACCUUUUCCACUGAGGUAAUAGAGCAGUUGCAACCAACUAUACAGUUUAACUUUCUUGAAUUUGGUUCUAUAGACAAUGUGUUUGCAGAAUAGCUCUUUAGGAUUUAAUCCAAAUGCAUUAUAGGAUUACAGCAUGUAACUACUCUGGUGGUCCUUAUAUGCCAACAUAUACCCAAGUAUAUUGUGGAAGGAAACUUAGGCAGUUCCACAACUUGGACAGCAUGGGAGUUGUGAUGCUUGGUAAGCACCAAGUGGUUAUUAACACACCCCACUUCCUGUCUUCACCAAAACUUUACAAAACUCUAGUGUGUACUGUGAGAAUGUGUAAGAAAAGUGGAAACUCUUCAUAUUAUUGGGUAUUUGCCACAUUUUGGCCAUUUCUCCGGAAAUUGAGCACAGUCUUGGCACCUUCGGAGUCUUGUUACCCGACCCUGCUUGCCAGAGCUGCAGAAAGAGGAGAGUCCCAUAGUUCCUAGGUAACUAAUCCAGGUAUGGGACAAGAACCCCUAUGCACUUAAGGGGGUCUGGCUUUCAGUUAAGUUCUUCGUCUUGCAGGGGAUUUGCAUCGCAAUCUCAAGAUGCUAAAUGGCCAAGAUUUACUCAGUAAUGACUUCAGUAGUUUGCUUUCCCCCCAGGACUAAUAACCAGGCUGGUCAAGGCAUGUUCAAGGUAAUGGGAUUAUUUUCCUCUACUUCCCUCAGACCUUGGUUGUAAGGUAACCUGUAGCAGAAGUAAAGUGGCAUUCCUUCCAUUGUCCCUACAAUGUAACAAGCUUCUGCCUUCUCUCAUGGGGUGAUAGAAUCGGCACUAUAGACUGGUGGCUGACCACUUCUCCUGGCACCUUCAACCAGACUUUUUAGACCAACAACAGGAUGAAUGAGGCAGAUCUUUGAGACUAUGGAAUUACAGAUAACAUAAUUUUACACUAACAGUGGAUAGAUUUGUCUAUAAUUUAAAAUUGUUUUAUAUUAUACGCACGAUUGUUCAACUAAAGACAUCAGUAAACCAAGUUUUUAUGUAGACUAUCCUUGCCAUAUAAUACUUUUUAAAACUCCUAUAAAACAUGAUUUAAAUCCUCAAAAAUUCACUUGUAUAACAAGCAAACUAUGCCAGGUGUUUUUUGCUCAUCUACAUCAGUAAACAAGGCUACAGAGUUUAGCUGUGAUUUAUUUUAGGGAGUUUGAUGAGAAAGCUUUGAGACAAAAACCGUUUUUUGUGUGUUUUGUUUUGGUUUUUCAAGACAAGGUUUCUUUGUGUAGC